CAGUCGCCGCGGUAAUACGUAGGGUGCGAGCGUUAAUCGGAAUUACUGGGCGUAAAGCGUGCGCAGGCGGUUCGUUAAGACAGAUGUGAAAUCCCCGGGCUUAACCUGGGAACUGCAUUUGUGACUGGCGAGCUAGAGUAUGGCAGAGGGGGGUAGAAUUCCACGUGUAGCAGUGAAAUGCGUAGAGAUGUGGAGGAAUACCGAUGGCGAAGGCAGCCCCCUGGGCCAAUACUGACGCUCAUGCACGAAAGCGUGGGGAGCAAACAGGAUUAGAUACCCCAGUAGUCCCUGUCUCUUAUAU
rnacentral:rRNA from 1 species